rnacentral:rRNA from 1 species
CAGCAGCCGCGGUAAUACGUAGGUGGCAAGCGUUGUCCGGAAUUAUUGGGCGUAAAGGGCUCGCAGGCGGUUUCUUAAGUCUGAUGUGAAAGCCCCCGGCUCAACCGGGGAGAGUCAUUGGAAACUGUGAAACUUGAGUGCAGAAGAGGAGAGUGGAAUUCCACGUGUAGCGGUGAAAUGCGUAGAGAUGUGGAGGAACACCAGUGGCGAAGGCGACUCUCUGGUCUGUAACUGACGCUGAGGAGCGAAAGCGUGGGGAGCGAACAGGAUUAGAUACCCGUGUAGUCCCUGUCUCUUAUAU